rnacentral:rRNA from 1 species
GACGAACGCUGGCGGCGUGCUUAACACAUGCAAGUCGAACGGAAAGGCCCUGCUUUUGUGGGGUGCUCGAGUGGCGAACGGGUGAGUAACACGUGAGUAACCUGCCCUUGACUUUGGGAUAACUUCAGGAAACUGGGGCUAAUACCGGAUAGGAGCUCCUGCUGCAUGGUGGGGGUUGGAAAGUUUCGGCGGUUGGGGAUGGACGCGCGGCUUAUCAGCUUGUUGGUGGGGUAGUGGCUUACCAAGGCUUUGACGGGUAGCCGGCCUGAGAGGGUGACCGGCCACAUUGGGACUGAGAUACGGCCCAGACUCCUACGGGAGGCAGCAGUGGGGAAUAUUGCACAAUGGGCGGAAGCCUGAUGCAGCAACGCCGCGUGCGGGAUGACGGCCUUCGGGUUGGAAACCGCUUUCGCCUGUGACGAAGCGUGAGUGACGGUAAUGGGUAAAGAAGCACCGGCUAACUACGUG